GAGGGGGCAAGCGUUGUUCGGAAUUACUGGGCGUAAAGGGCGCGUAGGCGGCCUGCUAAGUCGAACGUGAAAUCCCCGGGCUCAACCCGGGAACUGCGUCCGAUACUGGUUGGCUUGAAUUCGGGAGAGGGAUGUGGAAUUCCAGGUGUAGCGGUGAAAUGCGUAGAUAUCUGGAGGAACACCGGUGGCGAAGGCGGCAUCCUGGACCGAUAUUGACGCUGAUGCGCGAAAGCCAGGGGAGCAAACGGGAUUAGAUACCCCGGUAGUCCUGGCCCUAAACGAUGAAUGCUUGGUGUGGCGGGUAUCGAUCCCUGCCGUGCCGAAGCUAACGCAUUAAGCAUUCCGCCUGGGGAGUACGGUCGCAAGGCUG
rnacentral:rRNA from 1 species